AUACGUAGGGAGCGAGCGUUAUCCGGAAUUACUGGGCGUAAAGGGCGCGUAGGCUGUGCUUCAAGUCGUCUGUCAAACAAUAAGGCUCAACCUUAUUUUGCAGACGAAACUGUGGCGCUGGAGAAGCAGAGAGGCAAACAGAAUUCCUGGUGUAGCGGUGAAAUGCGUAGAUAUCAGGAAGAAUACCAGUGGCGAAGGCGGUUUGCUGGCUGCAGACGGACGCUGACGCACGAUAGCCGGGGCAGCUAACGGGAUUAGAUACCCCGGUCGACGUGUCAGUAAACGAUUUAUGCGUGGUGUGGGAGUAGCGAUACGCCCGUGCCGAAGUGCAAGCGAUAAGGAUACCGGCUGGGGAGUACGGUCGCAAGAUGGAAACUUAAAGGAAUUGACGGGG
rnacentral:rRNA from 1 species